rnacentral:rRNA from 1 species
UCGAUGCCACAUGGUUAGUAUCUUUGUGCUCAAGGAAAAGUACCUGUCCUUUGGUUUAAGCUUAGGCAAAAGCGGAAACUACGGCCCACAGAGCUACUGCCUAGUACAUCUCCGUUUACAGCACAGGUUCGCAUGCCUUUCCUUCUCUUACAUGCGAAGCUCACUGAUUCUUUGCUUAGGCAAGGACGAAGAGAACUGCCCGGUAAACGUGUUGCGUUGAAGAACGUUGGAAUAAUGCAGGCAGUCACAGUACUCCCUCUUUUCCUGAUUGCUGGCUUAGGCUCAGGCUUGAGGGGAAAAAUUUUACGGUGAAGUUACUGGUGUAGAACGCUCGAAUAACACUGGUACGCAAGGCUCUUGCCCUUAGCAGCUGGCGAGUCUUCACUUGAUUGUUGGCUUAGGUUCACACAAGCGUACAUUGCACGCCUUCAAAGUGGAACAAAUCGAAUGCCGUAUGCUUAGUAUCUCGGGAAGAACAAUGACUUUUCUCAUUUUGCUGUUUCAGUUUUCCAUGUCGGGACUUCGGCAGUGCGGUCUCACCAACAUGGUCACGUACGAUUGGACGUCGUGCUACUGCAUGGCGACUGUGGAGUCUCCUAUGACGCCGCCCCAGAAAUGACGCCAUCUUUGCGAUUGUGAGUCCAACUAUGUCGCAAAGAUUGGCCGUGCGCGCUGGGGCCUUUGCGAUUGCAACGCCCCCUACGAAGGGGGGAAUUCGAAAAAAGUACCGAUUGUACUUUCGCUUCUGGCUCAAGCCGGUAGAGCUGAGCCCCUUGUUCCUGUACGGUGUAUCUCCUGAACGGUAGUGCCUGAGAACGCCUACCUGGCAUGAAGCACUUACCCGGCGCCUCCCAGGGGGUCAGCCGAAGUACACCACGAGACCUUUGUAGUGUACAGUCGCGACUCCCCUUAAUAUAUCCGGUUCCAUUUCAUUGUCCCUCCUGUCCUGCAUGUGUUCCACACCCAAAGGAUAUUAUCAAGCACAUCAGGGGUACGCACGGCGAUGACAAUAUUACCUUUCAAUGCUCUAAGUGUAGUAAGCUAGGUUCUCUUAUGUCCAUAAGUGUGCAUUAUUCUCGCUGUAAUGGAGGUUCAUCGUCGGCGCAACAUCUCAGCUUCCAAGUCCUCUCACUGACUGCCCAAGGUCCUUCGCGACUAAGACGGGGAUGAGAAGUCAGCUAAGGCAAGCGCAUUCACUAGAAUUUAUGCAGUCAGUCUCGACCCUGACACAAUGAAGGUGGAGUAAAGAUGAGCGCGACGCGUUAGUAUUGGCAGAGGCAGACUUGAUUGUAUCAAGACAGAUUAGCGGAAGUUGCUGCAUUAAACAAGCACGCAAAAGAUGAGACUGUAAUAGUAGAAGUGCUGGUCAUCGGAGCACGGGGUAAGUGGGACACGGAAAAGAAUAACGUCCUCCAAAGCCUUAAUCUACGCAUGACGACGAACCAAAAACGGAGAUUAUGUACACGGACAGUUAAGGAUACAGGAAGAAAGAUAGAUUAGUUCUUCGUCACGGCGUGCUAAACCCCAGCCCAUACUCCCGACCCACCGUAUCGGUAUGACGUCUCAUGGUUUUCUCUGGCUAGCGAAUUUUUUCCCGUAAGCAAAAACAUCGCGAGCGGGUUUUUAUAGCAGCCAGAGUUUUUUCUCCAGAGGCCAAAAAAAUUCACUGGUACCACGCCCUAACCUGUACUCGCUCCCAUAUACACGUUUAUUGGUUGCGUUUGCACCGCACCCAGGCCAAUGGCGCAAGUGUCGGGGCAACCCACUGCGACAUCUACACGGUCGUCGAGGUGUUGAAUGAUGUCGUUGAACAGUAAACUGCUCUGUAGCCAAAUGCCUCGUCAUCUAAUUAGUGACGCGCAUGAAUGGAUCAACAAGAUUCCUACUGUCCCUAUCUAUUGUCUAGCGAAACCACAGCCAAGGGAACGGGCUUGGCAAAAUCAGCGGGGAAAGAAGACCCUGUUGAGCUUGACUCUAGUCUGACUCUGUGAAGAGACAUUGAAGGUGUAGCACAGGUGGGAGGCUCGCAAGGGCCGGCAGUGAAAUACCACUACUUUGAUCGUUUCUUUACUUAUUCGGUCAAGCGGAAGGAACGGUCGAUGCGAUGCCGUCUGACGACACGCGUCGACUGCCGCUUUUGGUGCCAAGUCCACAGGACGCGUGCCCGCGCUGACGGCGGUGGCACGUGCCGCGCCAACGCACUUCCAAGUGCGUCGAGCUGUCCAGGACGAUCCGCUCCGAAGACAGUGUCAGGCGAAGAGUUUGACUGGGGCGGUACAUCUGUUAAAUGGUAACGCAGGUGUCCCAAGGUGAGCUCAGCGAGGACAGAAACAUCGUCUAGAGUAAACGGGCAAAAGCUCACUUGAUUUUGAUUUCCAGUACGAAUAGAGACCGCGAAAGCGUGGCCUAUCGAUCCUUUUGAUUUUUGCGGAUUUCAUGCAAGAGGUGUCAGAAAAGUUACCACAGGGAUAACUGGCUUGUGGCAGCCAAGCGUCCAUAGCGACGUUGCUUUUUGAUCCUUCGAUGUCGGCUCUUCCUAUCAUUGCGAAGCAGAAUUCGCCAAGCGUUGGAUUGUUCACCCACCAAUAGGGAACGUGAGCUGGGUUUAGACCGUCGUGAGACAGGUUAGUUUUACCCUACUGAUUACUGAUCGUCGCAAUAGUAAUCCUGCUCAGUACGAGAGGAACCGCAGGAUCAGACAUUUGGUUCAUGCGCUUGGCUGAAAGGCCAGUGGCGAGAAGCUACCAUCUGAAAGAUAAUGACUGAAAGCCUCUAAGUCAGAAUCUUGCCUAUCAAUUGGCGACGAUACGCUGCCUCCGAAUUGUUGCGAGGUCGACGCUAGACCAGCCGUGCUGGUCUUGCAGAUAAAGCCGUGCUGCCGCUUGUGAUGGCAGCGCCGUCUGCUAGCAUGAUCAGGAUGCU